GUGUCCUGCAUACAAGAUGUGUAGAAACAAUGAUAGAACAAAGACUGAGGGUAUGGCCAACCAGUGAUUGCCCCAAAUCAAGACCCAGCCCAUGGGUAAGAACCAAUUAAUAAUACUCUGUUUUGUUUGCAGACAGGAACCUAGCAUAACUGUCCUAUGAGAAGCUCCACCCAGCAGCCAAUGGGAGGAGAUGCAGUAACUCACAUUAGAUGGAGCUGGGAGAAAGAUUGAGGGACCCGAAGAGGACAGGGACUCUGCAGGAACAUCAACAAAUUCAACUAACCUGGACCCUUGGAGGCUCCCAGAGACUAAAUCACCAACCAAAGAACAAGCAUGGGCUGGACCUAGGAUCUCUGCACAGACGUAGCAGAUGAGCAGCUUGGUCUUCAUCCUGGUCUCCCAAGAGCUGGAGCAGGGGUUGUCCCUGAGCCUGCUGCCUUCUGACCUGCCUGUGGAACCUGUGCUCAUAAUGGAUCCCCUUGUCUGGCCUCAGUGGGAGAGGAUGUGCUUAUUACCACAGUGAUGUGAGGUGUAAAGUGUCAGAAACCAGACCUUGAAAAAGGCCACGAUGGAGUUGAAGAAGAUCUCUCUGGAGGAAGACAGCAGGACGUGUGCUAUGGAGAGGAAACUGGGAAAGAUGGAGAUGAGAAUUUGCCUAUAGGGGAAGAAGUAGAAGCAAUACCAAAGGGGAUGGUUUGAGG
rnacentral:lncRNA from 1 species